rnacentral:lncRNA from 1 species
CUCAGGGAGAGAGUGGCAGAGUCAGGAGUCAGACCUGAGCCAACUCUCCCUGUUAAUCGUGAGGAGCAGCGAUCAAAGGACUUCUGGACUUGGGAGGAGAUAUUGGACGGUAAAGGACCCUGGGCUCAGCCUGGAGAAUAUCGCCGCCCCAAGGAAGAACUGGAGGCGAUGAAAGCGGAGAGGCGCUGGUAUGAGGAGGCAGCACGGCGACGCGGAUGGAAGCCUGAGAGUCGGCCCCAAAAAUGUAUUGGGGGGGGGGCUUACAGGGAGUAUGGCUAUGCCAGGUAGGAGACCUGCGCAAACUCCCUGUGCUUACCGGGGGUCUAGAGAGACCGGGCAGGCACCGUGUUAUGCUAUGGAGCGCACAGUGUUUCCAGUGCGGGUGCAUAGCCCGGUGCGGUUCAUACCAGCUCUUCGUAUUGGCCGGGCUAGAGUGGGCAUCGAGCCAGGUAAGGUUGGGCAGGCUCGGUGCUCAAGAGCUCCAGUGCGCCUGCACGGUCCGGUCUAUCCAGAGCCACCUCCAAACACCAGUCCGCCGGUGGCAGCUCCCCGCACCAGGCUUCCUGGGCGUGUCCUCGAUCCAGUACCACCAGUUCCAGCACCACGCACCAGGCCUUCAGUGCGCCUCGCCUGUUCAGCACAGCCAGAGCCUUCCUUCCCUCUAGCGCUGUCGGAGCCUCCCGCCUGUUCAGCGCAGCCAGCGUUUUCCUCCUCUCCUGCGCUGUCGGAGUCUCCCGCCUGUUCAGCGCUUCCAGAGCCUUCCUCCUCUACAGCGCUGCCGGAGCCUCCUGCCUGUUCGGAGCAGCCUGAGCUGCCAGACUGCAUGGAGCAGCCUGAGCUGUCAGUCUGCAUGGAGCAGCCUGAGCUGUCAGUCUGCAUGGAGCAGCCUGACCUGUCAAUCUGCAUAGAGCUGCCAGUCUGCAUGGAGCAGCCAAAGCUGCCAGUCUGCAUGGAGCAGCCAGAGCUGCCAGUUUGCAUGGAGCAGCCAGAGCUGUCAGUCUGCAUAGAGCUGCCAGUCUGCAUGGAGCAGCCAAAGCUGCCAGUCUGCAUGGAGCAGCCAGAGAUGCCAGUUUGCAUGGAGCAGCCAGAGCUGUCAGUCUGCAUGGAGCAGCCAAAGCUGCCAGUCUGCAUGGAGCAGCCAGAGCUGCCAGUUUGCAUGGAGCAGCCAGAGCUGUCAGUCUGCAUAGAGCUGCCAGUCUGCAUGGAGCAGCCAAAGCUGCCAGUUUGCAUGGAGCAGCCAGAGCUGCCAGUCUGCAUGGAGCAGCCAGAGCAGCUAGAUCCGCCAGUCAGCCAUGAUCUUCCAGAUCUGCCAGUCAACCAGAUUCUUCCAGAUCUGCCAGUCAGCCAUGAUCUUCCAGAUCUGCCAGUCAACCAGACUCUUCCAGAUCCGCCAGCCAGCCAGGAUCUGCCGGAGCCAACUACCUGCCUGAGCUUCAUCUCAGUACUGGGCUUCCUCUCAGUACUGGGCUUCCUCUCAGUACUGGGCUUCCUCUCAGUACUGGGCUUCCUCUCAGUACUGGGCUUCCCCUCAGUACUGGGCUUCCCCUCAGUCCCGGGCUUCCCCUCAGUCCCGAGCUGCCCCUCAGUCCCGAGCUGCCCCUCAGUUCCGAGCUGCCCCUCAGUCCCGAGCUGCCCCUCAGUCCCGAGCUGCCCCUCAGUCCCGAGCUGCCCCUCAGUCACGAGCUGCCCCUCAGUCACGAGCUGCCCCUCAGUCCCGAGCUGCCCCUCAGUCACGAGCUGCCCCUCAGUCACGAGCUGCCCCUCAGUCACGAGCUGCCCCUCAGUCACGAGCUGCCCCUCAGUCCAGUGGGGUUCUGGGUGAGGACUAUUAGGCCAUGGUCGGCGGCGAGGGUGGAUUAUCCCAGGACGCGAAGGGGAGGAACUAUGACAUUAAUGGAGUGGGGUCCACGUCCCGAGCCGGAGCCGCCACCAUGGACAGACGCCCACCCGGACCCUCCCUAUGGUUUUGAGGUGCGUCCGGGAGUCCACACCUUAGGGGGGGGGGGGUUCUGUCACGCCUUGGUCAUAGUAUUUUGUGUUUUCGUUAUAUAUUUGGUCAGGCAAGGGUGUGACAUGGGUUUAUUUUGUUGUGUUUCGUAUUGGGGUUUUGUAGGCAUUGGGAUUGCGGUUGAGUAGGGGUGUAGCAUAGGUUUGGCUGCCUGAGGCGGUUCUCAAUCAGAGUCAGGUGAUUCUCGUUGUCUCUGAUUGGGAACCAUAUUUAGGUAGCCGGGGUUUCACUGUGUAUUUUGUGGGUGAUUGUUCCUGUCUUUGUGUUUGCACCAAAUAGGGCUGUUUCGGUUUUCACAUUACGUUUAUUGUUUUUGUAAGUUCGUGUUUCUUUAUUAUU